rnacentral:rRNA from 1 species
UACGAAGGGUGCAAGCGUUGUUCGGAAUUACUGGGCGUAAAGCGCGCGUAGGCGGGUCUGUAAGUUGAUUGUGAAAUCCCUGGGCUUAACCUGGGACGUGCAGUCAAAACUGCAGAUCUUGAAUGUCUGAGAGGAUGGCGGAAUUCCCGGUGUAGUAGUGAAAUACGUAGAUAUCGGGAAGAACACCUGAGGCGAAGGCGGCUAUCUGGCGGCACAUUGACGCUAAGGCGCGAAAGCGUGGGGAGACAAGCAGU